CAUGCAGUCGAACGCGAACGUUCUCCUUCGGGAGAACAAGUAGAGUGGCGAAAGGGCGAUUAAUGCUUGGUUGACCUACCCAGGAGUCGGGGACAACAACUCGAAAGGGUUGCUAAUACCCGAUGGUCCGUGCGAGAUACGUCUCGCAUGGUAAAGGUGCUUCCGCUCUUGGAGGGGACCAAGUCCUAUUAGCUUGUUGGUGAGGUAACGGCUCACCAAGGCAAUGACGGGUAGCCGGACUGAGAGGUUGGCCGGCCACAUGGGAACUGAGACACUGUCCUGACUCCUACGGGAGGCUGCAGUCGAGAAUCUUCUGCAAUGGGCGAAAGCCUGACAGAGCGACGCCGCGUGGAGGAUGAAGGCCCUCGGGUCGUAAACUCCUGUCACAGGUUAAGAAAUGUACGGGUCUACCCGUGCACUGACAAAGGCCUGAGAGGAAGUCACGGCUAACUUCGUGCCAGCAGCCGCGGUAAGACGAAGGUGGCGAGCGUUAUUCGGAUUCACUGGGCAUAAAGCGCGCGUAGGCGGCUCGGUCAGUCGGAGGUGAAAGCCCACAGCUCAACUGUGGAACUGCCCCCGAUACUGCCGAGCUUGAGUGCAGGAGGGGUGACUGGAACUCCAGGUGUAGCGGUGAAAUGCGUAGAGAUCUGGAGGAACACCAGAGGCGAAGGCGGGUCACUGGACUGCAACUGACGCUGAGGUGCGAAAGCUAGGGGAGCAAACAGGAUUAGAUACCCUGGUAGUCCUAGCUGUAAACGAUGGGUACUAGGCAGUGGCCGUCCGAUGCGGUCAUUGUCGGAGCUAAUGUGUUAAGUACCCCGCCUGGGGAGUACGGCCCGCAGGCUGAAACUCAAAGGAAUUGACGGGGGCUCACACAAGCGGUGGAGUAUGUGGUUUAAUUCGAAGCAACGC
rnacentral:rRNA from 1 species